rnacentral:rRNA from 1 species
GUGAGGAAUAUUGCGCAAUGGAGGCAACUCUGACGCAGCCAUGCCGCGUGCAGGAAGAAGGCGCUACGCGUUGUAAACUGCUUUUAACCGGGAAGAAACCCCAGGACGUGUCCUGGGUUGACGGUACCGGAGGAAUAAGCACCGGCUAACUUCGUGCCAGCAGCCGCGGUAAUACGAAGGGUGCAAGCGUUAUCCGGAUUCAUUGGGUUUAAAGGGUGCGUAGGCGGAGCGUUAAGUCAGUGGUGAAAUCCUGCAGCUUAACUGUAGACUUGCCAUUGAUACUGGCGCUCUUGAGUGCGCUUGAAGUGGGCGGAAUGUGCCGUGUAGCGGUGAAAUGCUUAGAUAUGGCACAGAACACCAAUUGCGAAGGCAGCUCACUAAGGCGAUACUGACGCUGAGGCACGAAAGCGUGGGGAUCGAACAGGAUUAGAUAUCCGUGUAGUCC